rnacentral:rRNA from 1 species
AUGAACGCUGGCGGCGUGCCUAAUACAUGCAAGUCGAGCGAACAGACGAGGAGCUUGCUCCUCUGACGUUAGCGGCGGACGGGUGAGUAACACGUGGAUAACCUACCUAUAAGACUGGGCUAACUUCGGGAAACCGGAGCUAAUACCGGAUAAUAUAUUGAACCGCAUGGUUCAAUAGUGACAGACGGUUUUGCUGUCACUUAUAGCUGGAUCCGCGCCGCAUUAGCUAGUUGGUAAGGUAACGGCUUACCAAGGCAACGAUGCGUAGCCGACCUGAGAGGGUGAUCGGCCACACUGGAACUGAGACACGGUCCAGACUCCUACGGGAGGCAGCAGUAGGGAAUCUUCCGCAAUGGGCGAAAGCUUGAAGGAGCAACGCCGCGUGAGUGAUGAAGGUCUUCGGAUCGUAAAACUCUGUUAUUAGGGAAGAACAAAUGUGUAAGUAACUAUGCACGUCUUGACGGUACCUAAUCAGAAAGCCACGGCUAACUACGUG